rnacentral:rRNA from 1 species
GAUGAACGCUGGCGGCGUGCCUAAUACAUGCAAGUCGAGCGAACAGACGAGGAGCUUGCUCCUCUGACGUUAGCGGCGGACGGGUGAGUAACACGUGGAUAACCUACCUAUAAGACUGGGAUAACUUCGGGAAACCGGAGCUAAUACCGGAUAAUAUAUUGAACCGCAUGGUUCAAUAGUGAAAGACGGUUUUGCUGUUACUUAUAGAUGGAUCCGCGCCGCAUUAGCUAGUUGGUAAGGUAACGGCUUACCAAGGCAACGAUGCGUAGCCGACCUGAGAGGGUGAUCCGCCACACUGGACCUGAGACACGGUCCAGACUCCUACGGGAGGCAGCAGUGGCGAAUCUUCCGCAAUGGGCGAAAGCCUGACGGAGCCACGCCACGUGAGUGAUGAAGGUCUUCGGCUCGUAAAACUCUGUUAUUAGGGAAGAACAAAUGUGUACGUAACUAUGCACGUAUUGACGGUACCUAAUCAGAAAGCCACGGCUAACUACGUG